CAACAGGAUGAGUGAACUGUAUUUU
rnacentral:piRNA from 1 species